rnacentral:rRNA from 1 species
CCUACGGGUGGCAGCAGUCGAGAAUUUUUCUCAAUGGGGGAAACCCUGAAGGAGCGACGCCGCGUGGAGGAUGAAGGCUUUCGGGUUGUAAACUCCUGUCAUUUGGGAACAAUGCUUUCGAGUUAACUGCUCGAGAGUUGAUAGUACCAGAAGAGGAAGAGACGGCUAACUCUGUGCCAGCAGCCGCGGUAAUACAGAGGUCUCAAGCGUUGUUCGGAUUCAUUGGGCGUAAAGGGUGCGUAGGUGGCGCGCUAAGUCAGGUGUGAAAUUUCGGAGCUUAACUCCGAAACUGCAUUUGAUACUGGCGUGCUUGAGGACUGGAGAGGAGACUGGAAUUCACGGUGUAGCAGUGAAAUGCGUAGAUAUCGUGAGGAAGACCAGUGGCGAAGGCGGGUCUCUGGACAGUUCCUGACACUGAGGCACGAAGGCCAGGGGAGCAA